rnacentral:tRNA from 1 species
GGGGAUUUAGCUCAGUGGUAGAGUGCGUGCCUAGCAAGCGCAAGGCCCUGGGUUCGGUCCCCAGCUCCG